rnacentral:tmRNA from 1 species
GGGGGCGACUUGGUUUUGACGGGGUUACGCUUGCAAGAUAAAAGCACGUGGUGGUUUGACCAGUGCCACCUUAAAAAAGGUCACGCGAAUAAACGCAAACAAUAAUAAUAGCUUCGCUUUAGCUGCUUAGUUUUAAGUAAAAAGCGAGUUUAAAACAAGUGUCGGUGUUUUAAAUUUUUAGUUACGACACAAAUUUUAUUUGUCACCCAUAACAAAUAAUCUUAUUUUAUGGGCAGACUAAAAGAACUAUGUUUGUAAAGUUAUUUUGGUUUAAAUUCUAUAACAAACUAAACGUGUAGAAAGAUUUUAAAGGCGAACUUCGGACUCGGGUUCAAUUCCCGACGCCUCCACCA